UUUCUUUCAGUGGUCGGUUCUGCAUUUGGCAGGCCAAUUGUCGAUUGUCAUCGAUAUUGAUACGGAUAGGAUGUGCAUUAUGCCGGACGGCGGACGAGAACGAGAACGGAAUGUGUUUCCAUUCGACGGUGCAGCCAAUGAGCCGCCGGAAGCGCCAAUUGCCAGUUGGCAAUUGGGCGCCAUUUUACUGUCCCGCCGACAACAACGGUUAUUGUAAUGUGCAUGCGAGCUCUGCCCACCUCCCUACUGAUACCCCAACGGCUGCAUAAUGGGAUCUCUUGUAUGUUUUUGUGAUUGUUUAACAAGGCUCCUGAGUGGGUGAAAGUGUGUGUGUGUGUGUGAGUGACGGUGAGUGAGUGUGUGCUUAUCCCGCCACCCAUCGAAUCUCCCAGUCUCACAGUUGGCAAUCCCCACUGUGCACUCGUUAUCCCAGAACAGCAAAGCAUUUAAAUAAUUUCGCUGGCACUGUCGACGCUGACAUCGCUGAUAUCGGAGUAUUUUUCAAGUAAUUGUUAUUAUAACAAACGCAAAAACAACAACAACAUCCACUGGCAGUGGCAAUUACAUGGCAGCACCACACAUUCAAACGCAGCGAAAUAUGGAAUUCACAAUUACAUUUAGGCACACGAGCACUCUGCAAAUACAUAAGUCGCAGUUUUGGGUUUACGCGUGCGAUAAUAACCGGAUUAAAGACUUUUGCUACUCAACUCCUUACAAGCGAAAGCUGUUGCGAAACAAAGUUAUGAUUGUAGUUCUAAAAAAUUUUAAUUUUAAGAAACUAAAUAUAUUUAUAAAUCAUU
rnacentral:lncRNA from 1 species